rnacentral:rRNA from 1 species
UAAUACGUAGGUGGCAAGCGUUGUCCGGAAUUAUUGGGCGUAAAGCGCGCGCAGGUGGUUUCUUAAGUCUGAUGUGAAAGCCCACGGCUCAACCGUGGAGGGUCAUUGGAAACUGGGAGACUUGAGUGCAGAAGAGGAUAGUGGAAUUCCAAGUGUAGCGGUGAAAUGCGUAGAGAUUUGGAGGAACACCAGUGGCGAAGGCGACUAUCUGGUCUGUAACUGACACUGAGGCGCGAAAGCGUGGGGAGCAAACAGG